rnacentral:misc_RNA from 1 species
AAGUCGUAACAAGGUUUCCGUAGGUGAACCUGCGGAAGGAUCAUUAACACGUUAUACACGUAACUACAUCUCCGCGAACCUAUUUUUGUUUACAAUAAGUUGGUUGGCCAGCGUAGCAAUGGAGGUAGAUGCUUUACUAUGUCAACUUAGGCUCUUGGACUGUCCGGAGUUCUUCGUUGUUCUACCUGCCUAUCCACCAAAAACAAUUAAAUUGUUUGCCUGGUGGGUAUUCUGGCUCAUAUGACUUGAAUCAUAGUAGUAUUCUCUAUUCACCUUUUUUAUUAAUGUUGUAAUUUGUGAUGGUUGUGUGGGGGGAUUAAAACCCUCUCUCGCAGCUCACGUUAAAUAAACACUAUACAACUCUUAGCAACGGAUAUCUCGGUUCU